AUUGAACGCUGGCGGCAUGCUUUACACAUGCAAGUCGAACGGUAACAGGGAGCUUGCUCCGCUGACGAGUGGCGAACGGGCGAGUAAUAUAUCGGAACGUACCCAAGAGUGGGGGAUAACGUAGCGAAAGUGACGCUAAUACCGCAUACGAUCCAAGGAUGAAAGUGGGGGACCGCAAGGCCUCAUGCUCCUGGAGCGGCCGAUAUCUGAUUAGCUAGUUGGUGAGGUAAAGGCUCACCAAGGCAACGAUCAGUAGCUGGUCUGAGAGGACGACCAGCCACACUGGGACUGAGACACGGCCCAGACUCCUACGGGAGGCAGCAGUGGGGAAUUUUGGACAAUGGGGGCAACCCUGAUCCAGCAAUGCCGCGUGAGUGAAGAAGGCCUUCGGGUUGUAAAGCUCUUUUGUCAGGGAAGAAACGGGAGUGGCUAAUAUCCAUUUCUAAUGACGGUACCUGAAGAAUAAGCACCGGCUAACUACGUGCCAGCCGCCGCCGUAACAC
rnacentral:rRNA from 1 species